rnacentral:rRNA from 1 species
CCUACGGGCGGCAGCAGUGGGGAAUAUUGCACAAUGGGGGAAACCCUGAUGCAGCGACGCCGCGUGAGUGAAGAAGUAUUUCGGUACGUAAAGCUCUAUCAGCAGGGAAGAAAAAAAGUCCUUUGGACUUUGGACGGUACCUGACUAAGAAGCCCCGGCUAACUACGUGCCAGCAGCCGCGGUAAUACGUAGGGAGCGAGCGUUGUCCGGAAUUACUGGGUGUAAAGGGAGCGUAGGCGGGGAUGCAAGUUGGGUGUCAAAACUACCGGCUCAACUGGUAGUCGCACUCAAAACUGCAGCUCUUGAGUGAAGUAGAGGCAGGCGGAAUUCCUAGUGUAGCGGUGAAAUGCGUAGAUAUUAGGAGGAACACCAGUGGCGAAGGCGGCUUACUGGACUGUAACUGACGUUGAGGCUCGAAGGCGUGGGGAGCAAACAGGAUUAGAUACCCGAGUAGUC